GUGUGCGUGUGUGUGGAUGGUGUUCAGUGCCAAGGACAGGUGCAUUUGCCUGUGCGUGGAUGGUGUUCAGCACCAAGGACAGGUGUGUCUGCCU
rnacentral:pre_miRNA from 1 species